rnacentral:lncRNA from 1 species
GAGAUUGCCGAGAAGACUUGCGCGCAGGGGCGGUCUCGCGUUCUUUUCGAGGUCGGCCGCGUGGCUGGAAGACAUGGCCACUCCAGUCGGUGUUGAGCACGGCGAGCAGUCUCAGGCCUUUAGUGAUGAUGGUGCAGUCAGCCUCAGUUUCCAAAGCCGGAAAAGGAUCCUCUAGUAGCCACGGUGUGGCAGCUGCUCUGAACCAGGACCUGGACCCGGACCCAAAGUGCCAUGUCUUUAAUGUUAGCUCCCAGCGAUGCCAGAUGGGAUCAGCACAGCCCUGCCUCUGCUGCUAAUUGUUCCUCUAAAGUAAUCGCCAUGCGUUCUUUGGGCUUCAUCUUUAAAGGAAUGAAGCAACUGAGAUUAUUCUGGAAAACCUUUUGGCAGUUAGUGAAAUUAGAGUACAACUAAGAACAUUUUCAGACCUCCACUGUGGAUGACCUGGGUAUAAUCUCACAAAUCGAUGGGACUGCAAGGAUUGUAAACUGAAAUGAACAUGAUUAUACUCUGUUGGAAGAGCCUAAGAGGAAACUGAUGCCAUGAGUUUCAGAGAGUAAUGCUUAACCCCAGUUACACAGGAUGCCGUCUUGUGUUUCCUCUUGUUUAGUUACCCACUACAGUGAUUUUGUGAUCUGCUAAUGGGUUGCCACCCACAACCAUUGCUUUAGCACUUUUACUUCAAAUCAAUGAAGGAUUGAUAAAAGUUCUCCUGGUGUCUCCGCAGAGUGCCUUCCAGGAACAGAUCUUUGCAUAGAAUAUCAGUGGUUUCCUUUUUUGUUUCAAAUAGUGGUCAGAAAAUACCCAGUGUUGACUCACCAAGGCAAUCAGCUUCCUUUUUCCCUUUUUUUGUUUUUUUUUUAACAUUUUAUAUUUUUGCUUUAUUUUAUUUUAUUUUAUUUUAUUUUAUUUUAUUUUAUUUUAUUUUUUGAGACGGAGUUCCACUCUGUCGCCAGGCUGGAGUGAAGUGGUACAAUCUUGGCUCACUGCAACCUCCACCUCCCGGGUUCAAGCAAUUCUCCUGGCUCAGCCUCCUGAGUGCUGGGACUACAGGCGCGUACCUUCUUUAGUAGAGACUGGGUUUCACCAUGUUGGCCAGGAUGGUCUCUAUCUCCUGACCUUGUGAUCUGCCUGCCUCAGCUUCCCAAAGUGCUGAGAUGACAGGUGUGAGCCAUCAGACCCAGCAUUUUUUUUUUUAAUUUAAAUUUAAAUUUUUUUUCAUUUUUUUGAGAGGUUUUUUUUGUUUUGUUUUGUUGUUGUUGUUGUUGUUGUUUUUGAGACAGUCUUGCUCUGUCACCCAGGCUGGGAGUGCAGUGGCAUGAUCUCUGCAACCUCUACCUCCCAGGUUCAAGCAAUUCUUGUGCCUCAGCCUCCCAAGUAACUGGGACUACAGGUGCACGCUACCACACCUGGCUGAUUUUUUUUGUUUUAGUAGAGACAGGGUUUCAACCAUGUUGCCCAGGUUGGUCUCAAACUCCUGAGCUCAGGCAAUCCACCCGCCUUGGCCUCCCAAAGUGCUAGGAUUACAGGUGUGAGCCACCACACCCAGCUAUUUUUUCUUUCGUUUUUUAAUUUUAAAGUUGGGGGGGGGUCUCAAUUUGUUACCCUGGCUGGUCUCGAACUCCCGGACUUAAGCGAUCCUCUGGCUCCAAGCCCACUACCAGUCUCAGGUUUCUUUACUAAAAGAUCACUACCUUUUUUUCUCUUAUCUGCUGCCAUGUGAGAUGUGGCUUUCACCUUCCGCCAUGAUUGUGAGGCCUUCCCAGCCAUGUAGAACUGUAAGUCCAAUAAACCUCUUUUGUAAAUUAAAAAAAAAAAAUCACUAUUUAAGAUACUAGGAUGGAUUGUGACUGUUGAGGAGUACUUACAUAUCCUACAUUUGACUACAUUAUUUCCAAACCAAGUAUUCCAUCCAAAGGAACAUACUGCUAUCAUAGAGACCAAGGAGGGACUGUUUAAGGUUGCCAAGGUGAAGCGAGCUGAGAGGCUUUGUCCUCGUGCCAGUAACUCUGAAAUCUCUCUUAAUUCCUGCUGUCCAGGCAGCAGAAUGCCAUGGUUUCCCCAAGUAGGUAGCUGCUUUAGCAGUUAAAGCCCAAAUGUCUGUUCUGUUGAUCAGAGGUCUCUGAAUUUCUGAAGUGGUGUUUCGUUUCUGGUGACUGAGUUAAUCCUUUACAAUCCCUCUUGUAAAGUGUGCUAAUAGAAAGAAUCCACCUUUCAAAGCUGCAGAACCAGACCGUGCCCUAAAUUGACCAACGUAACUGAUGUGCCUCAGGAAGUCUCUUGCCAGCUGUCCCUGUGAAGACCCCCCUCCUCCCCCCCAGCUGCUGCCUUGCACACUGAAGCAUCUCAGACUGUGCAAAGCCGUGUAGUCAUCAAGACAGUAAAUCCCAGGGCUUGGUUAAGUGCUGUGUGAUAACUUGUUUGGAUGAGACUUAACUUAAAACCACUUACAAUAAACUUGGGAAACUACCGUCAGCUGAGUUC